rnacentral:rRNA from 1 species
CCUACGGGUGGCUGCAGUGGGGAAUAUUGGACAAUGGGGGAAACCCUGAUCCAGCGACGCCGCGUGAGUGAAGAAGUAUUUCGGUACGUAAAGCUCUAUUAGCAGGAAAGAAAAUGACGGUACCUGACUAAGAAGCCACGGCUAACUACGUGCCAGCAGCCGCGGCAAUACGUAGGGGGCAAGCGUUAUCCGGAUUUACUGGGGGGAAAGGGAGCGUAGACGGCUGCGCAAGUCUGGAGUGAAAGGCCGGGGCCCAACCCCGGAACUGCUCUGGAAACUGUGAAGCUGGAGUGCAGUAGAGGUAAGCGGAAUUCCUGGUGUAGCGGUGAAAUGCGUAGAUAUCAGGAAGAACACCGGCGGCGAAGGCAGCUUACUGGACUGUAACUGACGUUGAGGCUCGAAAGCGUGGGGAGCAAACAGGAUUAGAUACCCGGGUAGUC